GACGAACGCUGGCGGCGUGCUUAACACAUGCAAGUCGUACGGUAAGGCCCUUUCGUGGGUACACGAGUGGCGAACGGGUGAGUAACACGUGAGUAACCUGCCCACAACUUUGGGAUAACGCUAGGAAACUGGUGCUAAUACUGGAUAUGUGUUCCUUCUGCAUGGUGGGGGUUGGAAAGCUCCGGCGGGUGUGGAUGGCCUUGCGGCCUAUCUGCUUGCUGGGGGGGUAGUGGCCUACCAAGGCGGCUACGGGUAGCCGGCCUGCGGGGGUGACCGGCCACAUUGGGACUGAGAUACGGCCCAGACUCCUACGGGAGGCAGAAGUGGGGAAUAUUGCACGAUGGGCGCAAGCCUGAUGCAGCAGCGCCGCGUGCGGGAUGACGGCCUUCGGGUUGUAAACCGCUUUCAGCAGGGACGAAGCUUGUUGUGACGGUACCUGCAGAAGAAGCACCGGCUAACUACGUG
rnacentral:rRNA from 1 species